GAAAUAUAGUAUAAAGAAUACAUUUCACUUACACUGAAAAUAUGCUUGAAUUACAAGCUAUUUC
rnacentral:tRNA from 1 species